GUGAAUUGUAUCACUUAAUUUAUAUCACAUAAUUAAGUGAUCCUAUUUUAAAUCAUUUAUUUGUAAAUGAGACAAAUAUAUAUAAUUUAGCAUCACUUCUAAGAAAGUGAUGUUUUAUUAAAUCAUUUGGCAUCAUUUUAACAAACAACAUAUUUUUGUUGCAAGUUGUAUCACUUUAACAAAAAAAUGAUACUAAAGUUAUAUCAAUUAUAUAAAUGAUGUACUUAUUUUGUUGUUGACAUCGCUUAUUAAAUAAAACCGAUGCCAAUAAUGUUUUUUUAUGAGAAAUAAUUAUUGUAUAAUAACUUCAGUUAUAGAAACUGAUGUAACCAUUACAAAACUAAAUAAAACAACCCACUAAAACCAAUCAGUUACAAAAUAUUUUAAACUUCAAAAUCCAGAGAUUACGUGAAGUAGUUACUCUAUAUUAUUUGAAUUUAACCUGUUUUUCUUUAAUUCAAUUAUCAUUUUAAAUUCUAUAACUGUUUACCUCAACCAAAAAUCUUCUCUAUCGCGAUCCUCAUUCAUGAGUUCUUCUCCUUCUCUCAAAUUUAAGCUUUUUAUUACUUUAAAAUUUUCAACAAAAACCAUUCAUUUCUUUCUUAAAUUGAGUUAACUUCUCUCUAUUUUUGUUUUCUGUACAUUGUUGACAUUUCAGAUUGUGAUGACAAUGAGGUGUAUAAAGAGAAACGGAUGAUGAGACAUGACGUGUCCAGGGUUCUUGGUAUUUUUAAGGUUUCAAUAACAAUAGGGUUUGAUGCUGGAGUAUUAUCGUGUAUGGAGUACAUGAAAGCAGCACCGUGGUUUGAAGAUGAAGAGUACAAGACUGGCUCAUGUUGUCUGAGCUAUAUCUUGAAAAAGUAGGAGCAACAACUUUCAUGCCAUGAUCGAAGAUUGAGGAUGAAAAUAAAAUACAAGAUCAAGAAGAAGAGUAGAUCCUAGAUAGAAGAAAGUCAUGAUCAUUUUUUUAACUAUUUUUUCUAUAUAUUCAUUUAUCUUACUGAUUCAUUUGUAACGCUUUUUUUUUUCUUCUUCGUCAUAUUAUAUUUUCAGUGGAAAAGAAUAAAAAUAGUCAAUGCAAAUGAUUUUUAUUAUUUAUUGACAAAUUUAUUUAUCGGAUAACAGUAAUAAUAUUUAAAUUGAAAAUUAUAAACAAUAUAAAAUUUAAAAUAUUUUCCAAAUUUUAAUAUUAGUUAAAUUUUAAUAAUUGAUAAAUAGUAGAUAGUUGACAUCAGUUAUUUUAAUUGAUGUUAAUACUAACAUCAUUUUU